AUCCCGGCGAGUGCGGGCAUCACUGAAGACCUGACACCGGCGGAAUCGGACGUCCAGUUGUUGGCGGCAGAAAAUCAAACCAGGUGUUGUGCUGCUGAGCAGAGACGUCCGUCGCCGACAGACCGAAGCCGACGCUCCGCGUCAGUGACAACGACGCCGCUUCGCCGGAGGAGCAGCGGUUUCCCCCCCGUCUCCAAACGACCGGACAGGCGCAGGGGCGAGACAAAAAAAAAACAAAAAAAAAACGCCCAGAAGUUAUUGAAAUGAAUCGUCCUGAGAGGGGCUGACACGAGAAGCAGAAGCAGAACGAGCACUAGCAGCGUUGGCCUCCGCCGCAGAGGGAGGGAAGGGAAGCAGAAGGCAACGAGGAUCCGAAAGAGAGAGGUCCAGACAUGAAGGAGGCGCACACACACACACACACACACACCUAGAGUCUGUCUGCGGUCGACGACCAGCCUGCCACACACAGGCAUGCCUGUUACGGGCAGCAGAUUAAGUGGGCGACGCCAUUCCAGCUGUGAGGAGACGGAAGGAGUCAAGACACACACACAAACACGCACACAAACCAGACGCACGCGCACACACACACACACACAUGCACGCACAGCCACAAACACACAGAGCCGGAGGCGCGUGAGCAUUAAGUCAGGCAGCUAAACAGAUCACGUCGCGGUAUGAUAUCUGCAGACAGGCAGACAGAGGAGGCCGGUUUGUACCUGCAGGCAGAGAGCAACAACUCCCAGCGCCCUCGCCAGGAAUUUCCUCCCCCUCCUGAGAGAACGUGAGAGAGAGGGAGCAACUGACGAUAGAGACAUAAAGUGGGGUUUCCACUGUAAAUGUUCUUCUUUUUCUGAUCUGAAUAGCCUCAAUGUCACAACCUAUUUUAACUUUCAACAUGAAGCAGAUGUUUUUUUCUGUUGAUAAGUAUUUUUUUUUAUAAAGUAGUGGAGAAACAUUUACUAACAAAAUGAGGUCUAUAUUCAAGCCCAGCAGUUUACUGUAUCUUCAGAAGAGGCUUUUGUCACAGAAGUUCUAAUUAUUACUUGUUUUUGCUUGUGCUCAUGUGUUUGCAAAACAUUUUUGCCUUUUAGGACCUUAAAAUAUUACCAACGCGUGGACCUUAUUUGAGUUUUAUAGCUAUGUUUAGGGUUUUAUUUGAUCUUUUUUCUUAUUCAGAUUUUUUUAUCUUUACGCCAACUUUGUGAAACAAAUCCUACCUCGCAAUUUUCUUUUGUUUGUUUGUUUGUUUAAUGCAUUUCUUUCCCCAAAGAUUUCCUUUGAAUGCUUUAAAUGAGCUUGAUGGAGAGAUACUGAUGCAGAGUUACAACUGAGGACAGUGAGAUGGAAGAGAUGAAAAAAAAAAAAGCCUUCUUGCGUCACAAUUCAGCCCAACAUUCUCCUGUACCUCUGCCGGUGAAAGGAUAUCCUUUGACAUUAAAGAGGACCAACUCAUUCACACGCUACUGUGAUAUCGAGCGCAGA